GGGCAUGGCAUGCCCAUCAGCAUCUUGAAUCAGAGGGACCGUGAUCACCCUCACGGGACCAGGACUAUUAAUAUCCUCUCAGAGAACGAUGAGUGACGUGGAGGUCAUCAAACUCUUGCCUGAGAUCUGGCAGCCGCCUCCUACCAACCAGACAGGUUCUGGCAGUCUGGGAUGUGGACCAUUAUAGAAAACCCACAACUGGUCAGAACGUAGAGAGCAACUGGUUGUGGAGUGCUCCACACCAAUUGGUGCAUCUGUAACACAACUCCUGUACCGAAACUCAGAGAACAUCUUUGAAACUGGGAGGAAAGGUCGUGGAACCAGAGGACCAGGGAGACUGCCGAGAGAGUGACUCCUAGAAAUUACAGGGAAGCAAACAUCAUGAAACCUUAACAAUAUCGCUGCCUAAACAAGACCUUGGCAAACCUGACACUAAUAGACAAGGUAGCAUGGAAGAGAGAAACAGCGCGGUGCCCAUCUUGGUCAGAGAACUAUAGGCAACAAAGGACUGCUGAGAGCAGAGCUUGUCUUCCCCAAGGAGGAGCCCUUAGUCGGUUAACAAUGCAAGUGGUCAGCUUUGAAGUCAUAUACACACAAGUAAAUGCAGUAAAUGGAGGGAGCAGUGUGUGUGUGCAUGUGUGUAGAAUAACAAUUAAAGAAAAAUAAGCCAUGAAUUUAAGAAAGAGCAAUGGGGAACAUGGUGAGGGUUGGAAGGAGGAAAAAGGAAGAGAAAAAUGAUGCAGUUAUAUUUAAUUAAAAAUUAAAAAGUAGUGUGGUUCGUUUUUAAAAUGUCAAGGAACAUGUUCUCUCUCUCUCUCUCUCUCUCUCUCUCUCUCUCUCUCUCUCUCUCUCGUGUGUGUGUGUGUGUGUAUGGAGAGAGAGAGAGAGAGAGAGAGAGAGAGAGAGAGAGAGACUGGUUGUGGAGGCCAGAGGUCAACUUUUGGUGUUGUGUUGUUUCUCAGAAGUCAUCUACUUUGUUUUGCUUUUUUGCUUGCUUGUUUGUUUCUUUGUUUUCCUUCUUUGCUGUUUGUUUCUUUGUCAUUAGCCAAGAGCUCAUCAAGUAGGCUAGACUAGCUGGCCAGCUAGCCCCAAGGAAUCUACUUGUCUUCACCUCUCUACAUUGGGAUUACAAGUCUAUGCCAUCACUCUUGGCAUUGGGAAUGGUUUUUUGUUUGCUUGCUUUUUAGAAAAGGUCUCUCUAAUGCAUAGACUAGGCUGGCCUUGAACUCACAGAGACCCAUCUGCCUCUACUUUCCAAAUGCUAAGAUUAAGGGCAUAUGCCACCAUGCAUGGCCCACCCUUGUUUUGUUUUGUUUUUGUUUUUUAAAGUAAAUUUGGGGGUUAAACACAGGUUCUUAUGCUAUCAUGGCAAACACUUUCCUGAUCGAAGAAUCUCCCCAGCCUGAAUAUGAACUUUUAAAAUGAUUUUCACAAUGAGUCAUUAGGUAAAAGCAUUUUUGUUUCUUUUGUUUGUUCCCUCUUUUUCUGUUUACUAGGUUUCCUUGAAAAAUACAACUAUUUUAUACAACUA
rnacentral:lncRNA from 1 species